AUCUUAGUUUUGAGAUAGGGUCUGUUAUGUAACCCAGGUUGGAUUGACUCCUCAGGCUUCCCAGUGCUGAGAUUGCUAGGAUUAUAGGCAUGUGCCACCAUACCUGGCUACUUUUGUUUGUUAAGACUAAUAUUACAUAUGUUUGUAUCGAAUAUUCUAAAACCAUUGGAGACUGUUAACAGAUCAUACAUAUAAAUCUUUAAAUUCUUUUCAAAAUUAACUAAACAUUUUAUUAAUUCCAAAUGAGAAGCAGUUAUUUGUUGAACUGGAAAAAAUUUUGCAUGAUUUUUUUUGUUUGUUGAAACAGGGUCUCCCUGUAUAGUCCAGGCUGGCUUCAAACUCACAGCCUGCCUCUGCUUCCUGAGUGCUGAGAUUAAAGGUGUGCAUCAUCACACUGAGCUUUUACAUGAUUCUUAAACUGAAAGUUAGUGUUAGAAUUGGGAUAGCCUUUCUGUAUUGUAGAUAGGAGCCUUUUUUUUUUUUUUGGUCUUUUUGAGACAGGGUCUCCCUGAAGUCACAGCUGGCCUGGAUUCACUAUGGAGACUCGGCUAGCCUUGAACUCACAGAGAGCCACUUGCCUCUGCCUCCCAAGUGCUGGGAUUAAAGGCAUGGGUCACCACAGCCAGCUCUGUAGAUAGAAGACUUUUAAUGGUAUGAUAAAUACACAGGGUUGGGGCAGCAUAGGAACUUUUUAGUUUACAGAACAGUUUUUGGGAUUGAACGUAGAAAUUUUGGGUUGGGAGUGGUAUGAGAGGAUAAAUGAGGUUACAUGGAGCUCAAGAGACCAGAUUUACAUCCAGGGAUGAUCUAUUUGUGCCUUACCAAAUAGUUUACUGUAUAACAAGCCUAACACCUUAGUACAUACUGAUAAAACCAUGUGUUUACUUUAGGAAACUUUGGAGGGCAAGUAGUUAUCUUGGAAUUUCAUGAUUAAAGACAAAAUGGACUAAGGGAGUGGUCAGGGGCAGAACACUGCUCAGCAUUCCAGGGGCCUUGAUAUUAAUCCCCCCUAGCAACCCCCUUCUCUCAAAAACAGCGUCAAAUAAAACAAACUAUAAAGCUUCAGAAAAUGACAGGACUGAGUAAAUUAACCAAUGUUUGUAGACAAGAAUAUUCAAAAACCAAUAGAUGUAUUUGUUUUAUUAAUUGUAGCCAAUGCUUUAGAACAGUAAAACAGAGGAUGUUUUCUGUGUGUGACUUACAGCCACUUUUUUAUACAGUGUACUUUAUAUACAACACUUGUAAUAAAUAUAUUAAAAUUGCAUUGUAAUCAUUCUCCUAGUCCAGUUUUUUCAGUGGCCUAACCUUGUUUUAUAAACUUUUCUUGGACCAUUUUCUUUCCUGAGGGGUCUUCAUCUCUUUUGUUUAUUUAUUUAGGUCUUUUUGAGACAGGGUCUUCCUUAGCCCCAGCUAGCCUGGAACUUGCUAUGUAGACUAGGCUGGCCUUGAAUUCUGCCUGCCUCUGCUAGGAUUAAAGGUAUGUGUCACCAAGCCUAGCUUCAUCUCUUUAUAUGUUGAUAACUUCCAAAUCUACUUUACAUAAACUUUGAGCGUGUAGCUCCAAGUAAACAAUUCCUUGCUACACCAAACUUUUUCAGAUACUAUGUAGCCUACCUGUCCUGAAACUCAGCAAUCAUUCUGCCUCAGCCUUCUGAGUGCUGGGAUUACAGGCAUUUGUAUCAACACCUGUCCUCCAACUCUGUAUCUAGAAGAAUUCUCUUCCCCUGAAAUGUUGUAUACUCACACUUACCCAUUUAGUUCUCUUGGCUUAUAUUUAAACUUGAAAAUGCCUUUUUAAAGGAAAUUUAAUUCCCGCUGCCAAUAUCUUAAGUCCCCUAUUCUUCCAUACGACAUCAAGUAUUCAAAAAACGAGUGAUUUCAAGGAAACUCAUAAAACUCCAAGUACUUGUAUCCAGUUUGAAGCUCAGGGGUUCUAGCCCUCAGUCAGAGCAUCCAAGAUCUUAAGCAUGCUAAUAUCCGGAACCCAGGCCGGAGGACACUCAGAGUCACCAAAAGCUCUACAUGCGAACUCAUACCCAGUCCAAGGGCAACGCAGAACUUGAUUGUGCAAGUUCCCUUCUUGGGCAGUGAAGAUUUCGGGUCCUCUUCGUGGAGAGUUUUGCGUUUAAGGCGCAUUCUUUACUGCCGGGCUCCGUUGUAACUUCACAGCAGACCGGAAAGCUACCCCAUCCACCUCUACCGGAAGGCGGUGACGUCACGGCGAGACUGCACUGACCUGGUUUAGGGGCUUCCCGGACCCAAGAGCCCUGAAGGCCAGAGAGGAGGAGCAAGGGCGGGGGCACGGUUCCUCGGUCCCGAGCGGAGCCGGAGUCGGGUACCCGUCCCGCCAGCUGCCCGAGAGUCAAGACCUCCACCCGGACAGCUCUCGGGGCGGAGAAACAAUGGGGAUGUUCGUGGGGGGCGGCCAAACUUCCUGUCCCGCUCUCGAGCUGCUUCCGGCGAGAGCCGGAAGACGCCGUAUGUGGACGGAAUUCGGGACUGACGGCCGGCCAGGUGCCCCGGAGUGGAAGCUCCUGGUUCAGUUUGUUCAGAAUACCUCCAUCCCACUGGGACAGGGGCUAGUUGAGUCAGAAGCUAAAGACAUUACUUGCUUAUCCCUCCUUCCAGUGACAGAGGCCUCAGAAUGCAGUCGGCUAAUGUUACCAGAUGAUACUCCAAAUCAUAACAAUUCCUCCAAGGAGGUCCCUUCCUCAGCUGUUUUGAGGAGCCUUCAGGUGAAUGUGGGCCCAGACGGAGAGGAAACAAGAGCUCAGACUGUACAGAAGACCCCAGAGUUUUUGUCCACCCCAGAGUCUCCUAGCUUGUUGCAAGAUCUACAGCCAAGUGACAACACUUCAUUUAUUCUUCUUAACCUAACAAGAGCAGGUCUGGGCUCUUCAGCUGAGCACUUGGUAUUUGUACAGGAUGAGACAGAGGAUUCAGGAAAUGAUUUCCUCUCCAAUGAGAGCAGUGACAGUAGUAUUCCAUGGUUCCUCCGGGUUCAGGAGUUGGCCCAUGACAGUUUGAUUGCUGCUACUCGUGCACAACUAGCAAAGAAUGCAAGAACAAGCAGCAAUGGAGAAAAUGUUCACCUUGGUUCUGGUGAUGGGCAACCCAAAGAUUCCGGGCCCCUUCCUCAAGUGGAAAAGAAGCUCAAGUGCACAGUUGAAGGCUGUGACCGAACAUUUGUGUGGCCAGCUCACUAUAAGUACCACCUCAAAACUCAUCGAAAUGAUCGUUCCUUCAUCUGCCCUGCAGAAGGCUGUGGGAAAAGCUUCUAUGUGCUACAGAGGCUGAAGGUGCACAUGAGGACACACAAUGGGGAGAAGCCCUUUAUGUGCCAUGAGUCUGGGUGUGGUAAGCAGUUCACUACAGCAGGAAACCUGAAGAACCACCGUCGCAUCCACACAGGAGAGAAGCCUUUCCUUUGUGAAGCCCAAGGAUGUGGUCGUUCCUUUGCUGAGUAUUCAAGCCUCCGAAAACACCUGGUAGUUCACUCAGGAGAGAAACCUCAUCAGUGCCAAGUCUGUGGAAAAACCUUCUCUCAGAGUGGGAGCAGGAAUGUGCAUAUGAGAAAGCAUCACUUGCAGCUGGGAGCAGCUGGGAGUCAAGAACAGGAGCAAACUGCUGAGCCACUAAUGGGCAGUAGUUUGCUUGAAGAAGCUUCGGUACCCAGUAAAAACCUGGUGUCUAUGAAUUCCCAGUCCAGCCUUGGUGGAGAGUCCUUGAAUCUGUCAAACACCAGUUCUAUCCUGGGAGUUGAUGAUGUUAUCGAAGAACUUAACUUUUAAAACAUUUAAACAGAACAUAACCAGGUUUUACAGAGGAGAUAAAAAGCAAUUUCUCCAUACCUUCAAAAGCCAUAUCUUCUGGAGAAAAGAAAGGGCUCUCUAGGAAACAAAUGCUCCUCUGGUAUAGAAAUUUCACCCAGCUUACACAGGCCAGGCCCUCUUCUCUCAAAAACGUACCAGAGGUGCUUACUGAAGGAUCCCCACGUCCCCUGUCUUCAGUGCCUGAUGUGACACAUCACUUGGUGACCAUGCAGUCAGGGAGGCAGUCAUAUGAAGUUUCUGUCUUAACUGCAGUAAAUCCACAGGAGUUAUUAAACCAAGGAGAUUUAACUGAAAGACGGACAUGAGCGUGGGUACUGACUCCUGGAGGAGUUCUGUCUGAUCCCAGAGUACAUAAUGGAAGCAGGAUCCAAAAGGCUUAGAACCUGCCAGAACCAAAAUGAAUCUGUGGACAAGAUCCUGCCUUUGCCUCUAUUCAUCUUCCCUGGCAGAGAAGAGGGAUGUAUAAGAGCUUUUCUUCAGCCUCUAUCUGAUCCAGACAAGAAGUAAAGCAGUGACUGUGGCCUGAAUACCUAUAGCUGCCUCUCCUCACUGUAAAGUUUGGGAUAUACUUCCAAAUGCAAGUUUGAUGGUGUGUUGGCUAAAGAUUUUCAUGACUAUUGAGGGAAGCUUUUCCUUUGAAGAGUUUUCAUCCCAUACCCAGCUAUUUUCACAUGAUGAACGAUACCCUGCCUCUAACCACAGAAGUUCACCAGGAAGUUGAGUUUUCAAGAUGCCUUGUUGCUUUGAAGAAGGGAGUGAUGUCAGUUAUGUUGUGGCAUUCUCCCUUUAGCAACCUGAGUAAGAAACUCUCAGCCAUUGGGCUGUAAAAAUAAAUUACUUGAAUCCC